UCAUGCAAGAACCAGACGUUGUUCCUCAUCAUCAUCUCCAACUACGUCAAAUUGAUAAUGGCAAAGGGCACUUUUAACCGAGUAGGGUUACCGGAGCACAGAUGUGACCUGUUCCCUUUGCAUUCUUUACGUAUCUCAGCAAGAUCUUUAUUCACAUUUGCUGAAUGGAGAAGGGAAGUAGACUGGCACCGACAGGUCAGAAAUGAUGAAAUCAAUAUCUAACAUGGCAGG